GCGCACGUGGCGGAAUGGUAGACGCGCUGGCUUCAGGUGCCAGUGGCCGUUAAGGCCGUGGGGGUUCAACUCCCCCCGUGCGCACCA
rnacentral:tRNA from 2 species